rnacentral:rRNA from 1 species
AUGAGGAAGCCUUUCAGGGCAUGCUCGGCGACCGGAGUGGACUGCCGCAGCAAUUGGUCGAACAGGUGGUGUGCGUCUUCCGGGCUGAGUGUCCCGGCGCGGACGCGCUCAGCGGCAGUGGCAAAGGCGGAGUGCGGAGACCAGGAGCGUGAGGGCGGCGAGGUGGAAGUGCAGGAGGAGGAGCAGCGGCGACGGAGGAGGAGGAGGAGGAGGAGGCAGGACAUCGGCGUAGAGAAAGGAGGAGUGGCGGGGAAGGCGGGACGGGCACUCUGCGCGUACUGGACUGUAUUGGUAUUGCUUCGCUUUGCUUGUGAAGGCAUAUCAUACUGUCAUAUACCACUCCUUUGUUUUCUAUCACAAAUACAUGCCAUUUUUUGA